rnacentral:misc_RNA from 1 species
GGGAAAUAGAGAGCUAAAGAUGACGUACGAAUUCUCACCCUUAAAAACCCCAAAAAAGGAAGAGCAAGAGGCAGCAGAGAGCAUCGUUGAUGAUCCUGCCAAUGGAAGAGUCGAUGUUAUGGAUGAAUUUGACGGCGUUUUGGGUAUUGAAGAUGAUGAAGAAAAGUUUUCGAAGAGUAAUAAUGUAUAUGGGUUAACGAGUUGGGAAUUUAUGGACUGGGAGGAAGAGGAACCACCAAAUAAUGAAAAUGGAGAAGAUGAAGGAACAGAUCAUUACAGUAAGUUUGAAGACAGAAGCUGCAGGCGCUUCUUUGAGGAAGAUAGCCAUUUUUGUCGCAUAAAGAGAGAGAUCACUGCUAUUGGAUUUUUGAAUGGCGAUGAUGAAGAUGAGUACAACAGAGUUUCUUUGAACUUGAACUUGAAUUAUCAGGAAGUCUUGGAUGCAUGGUCUGAUCGAGGUCCACUUUGGGCUAAUGGCUCUUCUCUUUCUUCCAUUCCAAACAAUGCCUAUUAUAUGGGAGAGGUGCCAGUGAUGGAAGAAGAGAGAACAAGAAGGGAAGCAAGUGUUCUGAGGUACAAAGAGAAGCGCCACACUAGAUUGUUUUCUAAGAAGAUAAGGUAUGAAGUUCGCAAAAUCAAUGCAGAUAAAAGACCCAGACUAAAGGGUAGAUUUGUGAAGAGAGUUUCAUGAAAGGAUACUGGAAAUGGGCUUGAAAUAUCUGAAGAAAUAUCUUGGUGUUUGGACUUAUUAAUAGAAAAUAUGCCUUGUUUUUAUUUUUUAUUAUUAUUUCUAAAAUUUUUGUAUUGAUGAGGAAAAUAUCUGAAACCUUUGGAAGAAUAGAAAAUAUCUUGUGGGAAUGCUUUGGAGAGUUUAUGGGUCGUUGUUGUGGAGCUUUCUUACAUUUCAGCGGGUCACCGGAUGACUGGUCCAUCACGGAUAAU